CCUACGGGAGGCAGCAGUGGGGAAUAUUGGGCAUUGGCCCAAACCUUACCCAGCCACGCCGCGUGAAGGAAAAAGGCUUUCGGGUUGUUAACUUCUUUUCCCCGGGACGAAGCAAGUGACGGUACCUUAGGAAUAAACCACGGCUAACUACGUGCCAGCCGCCGCGGUAAUACCUAGGUGGCAAGCGUUAUCCGGAUUUACUGGGUGUAAAGGGCGUGUAGGCGGGACUGCAAGUCAGAUGUGAAAACCACGGGCGCAACCUGUGGCCUGCAUUUGAAACUGUAGUUCUUGAGUACUGGAGAGGCAGACGGAAUUCCUAGUGUAGCGGUGAAAUGCGUAGAUAUUAGGAGGAACACCAGUGGCGAAGGCGGUCUGCUGGACAGCAACUGACGCUGAGGCGCGAAAGCGUGGGGAGCAAACAGGAUUAGAUACCCUAGUAGUC
rnacentral:rRNA from 1 species